AGCAGCCGCGGUAAUUCCAGCUCCAAUAGCGUAUAUUAAAGUUGUUGCAGUUAAAAAGCUCGUAGUUGAAUUUCGGGAUCGAAUUGUUGGUCGUGCUUCGGUACGCACUGGCAUUAUCGGUUUCUACCUUCUGAAGAACCGCGAUGUCAUUAAUUUGGUGUCGUUGGGAAUCAGGACUGUUACUUUGAAAAAAUUAGAGUGUUUAAAGCAGGCUUACGCUUGAAUACAUUAGCAUGGAAUAAUGAAAUAGGACGUUUGAUUCUAUUUUGUUGGUUUCUAGGAUCGACGUAAUGAUUAAUAGGGAUAGUUGGGGGCAUUAGUAUUCAAUUGUCAGAGGUGAAAUUCUUGGAUUUAUUGAAGACUAACUACUGCGAAAGCAUUUGCCAAGGAUGUUUUCAUUAAUCAAGAACGAAAGUUAGGUGAUCGAAGACGAUCAGAUACCGUCGUAGUCUUAACCAUAAACUAUGCCGACUAGGGAUCGGAUGAUGUUAAUUUUAUAAUGACUC
rnacentral:rRNA from 1 species